CAAUAGCGUAUAUUAAAGUUGUUGCAGUUAAAAAGCUCGUAGUUGGAUUUCUGAAUUGAAUAUCCGGUCCGCUCGUCUCUGAUGAGUGCGUACUUAUGGAUAUUGGAUUCAUUUUUUGUGAGGACAUUUAUCUGUCAUUAAGUUGAUGGAUUUAUAGACUUGCAUCGUUUACUGUGAAAAAAUUAGAGUGUUUAAAGCAGGCGUUCGCCCAUUUGAAUACAUUAGCAUGGAAUAAUAAGAUAUGACUUUGGUGGUCUAUUUUGUUGGUUUGCACACCAGAGUAAUAAUUAAUAGGGACAGUUGGGGGUAUUCAUAUUUCAACGUCAGAGGUGAAAUUCUUAGAUCGUUGAAAGAUGACCUUAGGCGAAAGCAUUUACCAUGGAUGUUUUCAUUAA
rnacentral:rRNA from 1 species